AUGUCACUGAUUUCUUUUCUUUUCUUUCUUUUUUCUUUUUUUGAGACGGAGUCUCACGCUGUCUCCCAGACUGGAGUGCAGUGGCGCCAUCUCAGCUUGCUGCAACCUUCGCCUACUAAGUUCAAGCAACUCUCCUGCCUCAGCCUUCCGAGUAGCUGGGACUGCAGGAAAGUACAAGACUUUCAAGACUCCGGGCAGUGGCAGGAGCCACAGCUUUCGGUCUGCCACGUGAUCACAACGGUAAGCGUCCAGUCUUCUCCCCGUCCUGUGAUGCCAGAUGGUUUUGCCCAGCUGUGGGCUCAUGUAAAUGUUCUGAGCACUUAUAAGAUAGUGGGCUAGGCUAAGCCAUAAUGUCCAGUACAUUAGGUAUUAAAUGCAUUUUUGACUUAUGGGUCUUCCUCUCUCUCUCUUUCUCCCUUUCUCUCUUCUCUUUUCGACGGUCUCAAUCUGUUGCCCCAGCUGGAGUGCAGUGGUGUGAUACGGGCACCCUGCAACCUCCAUCUCCCGGGUUCAAGCAUUCCUUCUGCCUCGGACUCCCGAGUAGCUGGGAUUACAGGUGCCUACCAACACUCCUGGCUAAUUUUUCUAUUUUUAGUAGAGACAGGGUUUCACCAUGUUGGCCAGGGUGGUCUCAAACUCCUGAUCUCAGGUGAUCUGCCUGCCUUGACCUCCCAAAAUGCUGAGAUUACAGGCAUGAGCCACCACACCUAGUCCGAUUUAUGAUAUUUUCAAUUUAGAGUGGGUUUAUCAGGGUGUAACCCCAUGGUGAGUCAAGAAACAUCUGUAUUUCUUUCCACUGGUAUAUUCAUCUCUAUCAAGUAUGAUACAGUCAAAGACUGUGAUCAAUGAUAUAAGUUCAUUUUCUCGAUCAGAUAUAUAAUUUGAGAUCCUUGAAACAUCUCUAGCCAACGCUGAGUUCUUCAGAACACCGUGAAAACUAUAGCUGAAGGACAUGGAAACAUGAGAGGCAUAAACAGAUCUGCAUUUCAGAAAGAAAGAAAAUACCAUGAGUCAAAAGUGCAUUUAACACCUGAUCUAUUGAAUAUUAUGGCUUAGCCUAGCCUACAAUCUCAUAAGUGCUCAGAACAUUUACAUUAACCUACAGUUGGGCUCAUAAAAUGGAGGAUGAGUUAGUUAAAGAGGGGAAAGAUCAGAACCAAAGAGAUUUACAAGAAGGUUAUUAUGGAAGAGGAUGGAAAACUGAACUUGGAUGUAUGUCCUGCACGUGUACCCCUGAAGUUAAAAAAAAGUUGAAAAAAAAAACUGAUAUAUGUCUCAGGAAAAAAAUGCAACAUUUGAGAAAUAAAAUUGAUUUUAAAAAUUAGACA
rnacentral:lncRNA from 13 species